rnacentral:lncRNA from 1 species
AGUCCCGGGGCUUACCCGGGUGCAGAGAGCGAGGAGCACCAAGGCGAGGCUGAUGGGACCUGCGACGGAGGCGAGCAUGAUCGGGACGCGGUAGGAGGAUGCACAGCAGGGUGCAGAGGCGACGAGAGGCGCGGCCGGAGCCUGGAUUCGGACAGGGGCGGAGAACCCUGUGCAAUAUGCACUGUGUGUGAAGACAGCAGAUCAUAGGGACCUUGGAGAUCAUUCAGCGGAAACAUGAGACCACCCCCUUCAGAGUAUACAAGGUGGAAGACAGCGCCGAUGGGGUGUGGCUUCCUGCUCUGAUAACCUCAAGUAACACUUCACCUUUCAGGACAGGCCCAACACUGCCUUCUAGUGAAUUUCUUCUGGCUGUUUCAGGAUGAGUAGCUUCGGGAUACCCAUCCCCCAGCCCCUGAAGGUUGGUAUGCUGAGUUGCUGGUGACUAAGCAAAGCCUGACACAGCUUCACAAGAGGUCCCUCAAACUCUGACCACCAUGGAGACUUGGCAAUCCAUUCAGACUACUUUGAGAAGCAGUUCAAAACUGAUUUGUAUUCUACGAUUCUCUUUCCUACCUUGUAUUUCUUUCUGUAAAAGAGUUGAGGCUGAUCUAAUUUUAGGAUUUGGCCAUUUGAGUUGAACUUGGUGGUUUUAGUUUUAUUGCUGUUUUUCUUCUUUUAGGUUGAGAGCGAGAGUGAGUGAGAACAAGCGAGAGAGAGCGAGAGAGUGAGAGAGUGAGAGAGCAAGAGAGAGAGAGAGAGAGAGAGAGAGAGAGAGAGAGAGAGAGAGAGAGAGAGAGGAGUCCUGGCUCCCAUGACUAUUAAAGAGACCCUGUGCUAGGCC